rnacentral:rRNA from 1 species
CUACGGAGGGUGCGAGCGUUAAUCGGAAUUACUGGGCGUAAAGCGUACGUAGGCGGUUUGCUAAGUCAGAUGUGAAAGCCCCGGGCUUAACCUGGGAACUGCAUUUGAUACUGGCAGACUAGAGUAUGAUAGAGGGGGGUAGAAUUCCUGGUGUAGCGGUGAAAUGCGUAGAUAUCAGGAGGAAUACCAGUGGCGAAGGCGGCCCCCUGGAUCAAUACUGACGCUGAGGUACGAAAGCGUGGGGAGCGAACAGGAUUAGAAACCCUAGUAGUCCC